rnacentral:rRNA from 1 species
UACGUAGGCAGCGAGCGUUGUUCGGAGUUACUGGGCGUAAAGCGUGCGUAGGCGGUGGUCCAAGUCUGGUGUGAAAUCUCCCGGCUCAACUGGGAGGGUGCGCCGGAAACUGGGCCGCUGGAGUGCGGGAGAGGCAAGCGGAAUUCCAGGUGUAGCGGUGAAAUGCGUAGAUAUCUGGAGGAAUACCUAUGGCGAAAGCAGGUAUCUGGGCCACAACUGACGCUGAGCUGCGAAAGCUAGGGGAGCAAACAGG